UGCGGGGAUGAGAAAAUGGUUAUCUCGUCAGGCUCAUAAUCUGAAAGUUGUAGGUUCGAAUCCUACCCCCGCUC
rnacentral:tRNA from 1 species